rnacentral:rRNA from 1 species
GAGUUUAAUCUUGGCUCAGAUUGAACGCUGGCGGCAUGCCUAACACAUGCAAGUCGAACGGUAACGCGGGGGCAACCCUGGCGACGAGUGGCGGACGGGUGAGUAAUACGUAGGAAUCUGCCCAUUUGUGGGGGAUAACCCGGCGAAAGCCGGGCUAAUACCGCAUACGCUCUACGGAGGAAAGCGGGGGAUCGCAAGACCUCGCGCUAAUGGAUGAGCCUACGUCGGAUUAGCUAGUUGGUAGGGUAACGGCCUACCAAGGCGACGAUCCGUAGCUGGUCUGAGAGGACGAUCAGCCACACUGGGACUGAGAGACGGCCCAGACUCCUACGGGAGGCAGCAGUGGGGAAUCUUGCGCAAUGGCCGAAAGGCUGACGCAGCGACGCCGCGUGUGGGAGGAAGCCCUUCGGGGUGUAAACCACUGUUGCCCGGGACGAAUGACCCUUUCGACGGGAGUGACGGUACCGGGUGAGGAAGCACCGGCUAACUCCGUGCCAGCCGCCGCAGUAAC